AAACCCUACGGUUUUCAGGUCCGCCGCAACUCCUGAUCCGUAGGGCGGCUGGCCCGGUAUCGGACAAGAGUGGCCUCUUCGACAAACCGGACCGGGUCAGCCAACCC
rnacentral:sRNA from 19 species